rnacentral:rRNA from 2 species
UUGGACGUGAUAUCAGGCAAGAUA